CCCGGAUCGACGCCUCCAAAGACAGACGAUGCUGCGGGCAGGGUGGCUCCGGGCUCGGUCGCGCGGUCCUGGGACUCCGUCUCCCGCCAGCGCCGAGUAGGAGGCGGACACCCGCGCCCCCGGGAGCCGCGCAGGGCGGCGUGGGACGGCCACCUGGAGCGCAGCUGCCAGAUCUGAACAGUGAUGGCACAUAUUCCACAUAGGAAUUGUUCAGUGGACUGUGGAUUGGUCAAACUAUAUCCCAUCAUGAUGCAUACAACCAAGGCUCUUCACUACACCUGUUUUCUGACUAGAGGCCAAAUAAAUGACAUUGAGAAUUUCUGCUAAGGUAAUAUAAG